rnacentral:rRNA from 1 species
GACGAACGCUGGCGGCGUGCCUAAUACAUGCAAGUCGAGCGGACUUGACAGAGCUUGCUCUGUUCAAGUUAGCGGCGGACGGGUGAGUAACACGUGGGCAACCUGCCCUGCAGAUUGGGAUAACUCCGGGAAACCGGGGCUAAUACCGAAUAACAUGGAAAACCUCAUGGUUUUCUUUUAAAAGGCGGCUUCGGCUGUCACUGCAGGAUGGGCCCGCGGCGCAUUAGCUAGUUGGUGAGGUAACGGCUCACCAAGGCGACGAUGCGUAGCCGACCUGAGAGGGUGAUCGGCCACACUGGGACUGAGACACGGCCCAGACUCCUACGGGAGGCAGCAGUAGGGAAUCUUCCGCAAUGGACGAAAGUCUGACGGAGCAACGCCGCGUGAGUGAAGAAGGUUUUCGGAUCGUAAAACUCUGUUGUUAGGGAAGAACAAGUACCGGAGUAACUGCCGGUACCUUGACGGUACCUGACCAGAAAGCCACGGCUAACUACGUGCCAGCAGCCGCCGUAAUAC